UCCGUAUCCGGAUCCGCCGGACU
rnacentral:snRNA from 1 species